UGAAACCGUGUGCUUACAAGUAGUCAGAGCCCGUUAAUGGGUGAUGGCGUGCCUUUUGUAGAAUGAACCGGCGAGUUACGAUUUGAUGCAAGGUUAAGCAGUAAAUGUGGAGCCGUAGCGAAAGCGAGUCUGAAUAGGGCGUUUAGUAUUUGGUCGUAGACCCGAAACCAGGUGAUCUACCCUUGGUCAGGUUGAAGUUCAGGUAACACUGAAUGGAGGACCGAACCGACUUACGUUGAAAAGUGAGCGGAUGAACUGAGGGUAGCGGAGAAAUUCCAAUCGAACCUGGAGAUAGCUGGUUCUCUCCGAAAUAGCUUUAGGGCUAGCCUCAAGUGAUGAUUAUUGGAGGUAGAGCACUGUUUGGACGAGGGGCCCCUCUCGGGUUACCGAAUUCAGACAAACUCCGAAUGCCAAUUAAUUUAACUUGGGAGUCAGAACAUGGGUGAUAAGGUCCGUGUUCGAAAGGGAAACAGCCCAGACCACCAGCUAAGGUCCCAAAAUAUAUGUUAAGUGGAAAAGGAUGUGGCGUUGCCCAGACAACUAGGAUGUUGGCUUAGAAGCAGCCAUCAUUUAAAGAGUGCGUAAUAGCUCACUAGUCGAGUGACACUGCGCCGAAAAUGUACCGGGGCUAAACAUAUUACCGAAGCUGUGGAUUGUCCUUUGGACAAUGGUAGGAGAGCGUUCUAAGGGCGUUGAAGCAUGAUCGUAAGGACAUGUGGAGCGCUUAGAAGUGAGAAUGCCGGUGUGAGUAGCGAAAGACGGGUGAGAAUCCCGUCCACCGAUUGACUAAGGUUUCCAGAGGAAGGCUCGUCCGCUCUGGGUUAGUCGGGUCCUAAGCUGAGGCCGACAGGCGUAGGCGAUGGAUAACAGGUUGAUAUUCCUGUACCACCUAUAAUCGUUUUAAUCGAUGGGGGGACGCAGUAGGAUAGGCGAAGCGUGCGAUUGGAUUGCACGUCUAAGCAGUAAGGCUGAGUAUUAGGCAAAUCCGGUACUCGUUAAGGCUGAGC
rnacentral:rRNA from 1 species